GGAGAUAUAUCUCAGUUCCUAGAGUGCUUGUCUUGCAUGCAAAUGGCCCUGGGUUCAAUGCCCAGUACCA
rnacentral:tRNA from 1 species